rnacentral:rRNA from 1 species
UACGUAGGGUGCGAGCGUUGUCCGGAAUUAUUGGGCGUAAAGGGCGCGUAGGCGGCCUUCUAAGUCGAACGUGAAAUCCCCGGGCUCAACCCGGGAACUGCGUCCGAUACUGGAAGGCUUGAAUCCGGGAGAGGGAUGCGGAAUUCCAGGUGUAGCGGUGAAAUGCGUAGAUAUCUGGAGGAACACCGGUGGCGAAGGCGGCAUCCUGGACCGGCAUUGACGCUGAGGCGCGAAAGCCAGGGGAGCGGAACGGG